rnacentral:rRNA from 1 species
UACGGGGGGAGCAAGCGUUGUUCGGAUUUACUGGGCGUAAAAGGGCGCGUAGGCGGGCGCAACAAGUCACUUGUGAAAUCUCCGGGCUUAACCCGGAGCGGUCAAGUGAUACUGUCGUGCUAGAGUGUGGAAGGGGCUACUGGAAUUCUUGGUGUAGCGGUGAAAUGCGUAGAUAUCAAGAGGAACACCUGAGGUGAAGACGGGUUGCUGGGCUGACACUGACGCUGAGGCGCGAAAGCCAGGGGAGCAAAACGGG